GACGAACGCUGGCGGCGUGCUUAACACAUGCAAGUCGAACGGAAAGGCCCCUUCGGGGGUACUCGAGUGGCGAACGGGUGAGUAACACGUGGGUAAUCUGCCCUGCACUUCGGGAUAAGCCUGGGAAACUGGGUCUAAUACCGGAUAGGACCAAAAGGCGCAUGCCUUGUGGUGGAAAGCUUUUGCGGUGUGGGAUGGGCCCGCGGCCUAUCAGCUUGUUGGUGGGGUGACGGCCUACCAAGGCGACGACGGGUAGCCGGCCUGAGAGGGUGUCCGGCCACACUGGGACUGAGAUACGGCCCAGACUCCUACGGGAGGCAGCAGUGGGGAAUAUUGCACAAUGGGCGCAAGCCUGAUGCAGCGACGCCGCGUGGGGGAUGACGGCCUUCGGGUUGUAAACCUCUUUCACCAUCGACGAAGGUCCGGGUUUCUCG
rnacentral:rRNA from 1 species